AUCUAAUCCCACGCGUUCCGAUCGACCAAGCUCCACGAACAUACGGAAUCGCCGCCGCCGCCUUGUCUCAUGGCCAACCACGGGGAUCUCUCCCCACCGACCGACAGCCGCUACCAGCAGCAGCCGAUUCCAGUCUUGUACCAGUCACGCUACGGCAAAACACCAGAGGGCACUCCGCUUUCCUUUGUACUCCCUCGGUUCGGAAAUACUUGUCCUAGAAAUGAUUAUAUCUAGACUUAUUUUAGUUACAGAUACAUCCAUUUUCUAUCAUUUGUAAGACAAGUAUUUCGGGACGAAUGGAGUACUUUACUACACGCCACUUCCUCCAAGUGCUGCUACUCCGAGCCCCGUGCACGAAGAUGGAGCCACAAAGGUGCUCUGCUUGACCCGCAUGUUUUCACCCGAUCGGCUCGCGGACGAUGUGUAUUACCGCAACUUUUGCUGGUGGAUGACGGUAGAAGGGCGGAGACACGGUGGUAAGCUGGUGAGAGCCGUGGUCCCACGGCCUGACCCCGGCAGCGCUCCGGUCGCCGGAGUUGGCAAGGUGUUUCUCGAGUACGCGGAUCUCGACAGCUCAACACAUUCAAAGACGAUGUUGCACUUGACGUGGUUUCGCGGGAGGCAGGUGAUUGCCGUGUUUUACCCCGAGGACAAGUUUGCUGAUGGGAACUACGACGGAUAAAACGUGAUUAUUCCCCUGUGUGUGGCUUUUACGCUCAAUAUGCUGUCAAUGACAUUGAGCUAUGGGCUCGCCGGUUUUGCUCUUCUCACGAUAGAACAGAGGCUCUCCACUCCUGGACGAAUUUCCUAAUUUCCCGCCUAAGCGGGCCGUAAUCUAGUUGUAUUCAUGUUUUCUUUCUGUUCCCCAUCUUGUAACCUGCUGCUGAUGGCCUCGGCCUAACAUUAUGUAUGGCUGCCCAGCCUCUUCGAGUUGGCAAUAUAAAAAAUGGCGAGGAGC